rnacentral:rRNA from 1 species
UACCUACGGGAGGCAGCAGUGGGGAAUUUUGGACAAUGGGCGCAAGCCUGAUCCAGCCAUUCCGCGUGAGUGAAGAAGGCCUUCGGGUUGUAAAGCUCUUUCGCAAGGGAAGAAAACUUACAUUCUAAUAAAGUGUGAGGCUGACGGUACCUUGAUAAGAAGCACCGGCUAACUACGUGCCAGCAGCCGCGGUAAUACGUAGGGUGCGAGCGUUAAUCGGAAUUACUGGGCGUAAAGCGUGCGCAGGCGGUUUUGUAAGGCAGAUGUGAAAUCCCCGAGCUCAACUUGGGAACUGCGUUUGAAACUACAAGACUAGAAUAUGUCAGAGGGGGGUAGAAUUCCACGUGUAGCAGUGAAAUGCGUAGAGAUGUGGAGGAAUACCAAUGGCGAAGGCAGCCCCCUGGGAUAAUAUUGACGCUCAUGCACGAAAGCGUGGGGAGCAAACAGGAUUAGAUACCCGUGUAGUCCAG